CAAAUAUGAUUGUCCAGAUCAUUCAACAGUACUUCCCUUUUAUAAUUGUGUGAAAAAAGCAGUACCAAUUUUUUUGAACUUAACCGCAUUUUGGCAUCUUGAUCUGAGCGUUCAUUUGUGUCACCAUCGGCAUCGGAGAAACUUCUGCUAAAUAUUGGCAAAGCUUUCUCAAGAUAAUUAUAACAGUUCCACGCAAGGUGUAAGCUGGAUACAGCCCCCUUCCCUCGAGAAGUCUCAAAAGCUCAACGUCGGAUUGUGCGUUUAGUUUAAGCAAGUAUGCUACCAGUGGGCCCACAC